rnacentral:pre_miRNA from 1 species
UGCGGGCGUGUGAGUGUGUGUGUGUGAGUGUGUGUCGCUCCGGGUCCACGCUCAUGCACACACCCACAUGCCCGCACU